rnacentral:rRNA from 1 species
AAGCAUCUAAGCGGGAAACUGACUUCAAGAUAAGUAUUCUUUUAGACAUCUUCGAGACUAGGAGAUUGAUAGGUUGGGGGUGUAAGAGUAGCAAUGCUUUUAGCUGACCAAUACUAAUAUGUCGAAGUCUUAACCU